GUUUGAGACUGCACAGCGGUGCCCAGCGCCGGGAACACUUUUGUAACGCAGUUCCAUUGAAAUGGCGAUCGACCCCUGGAACCCGCGAACGGAUCGGAAGACUUAACCCAGAGGGACUUCAGGAACGAGCACGAGACACAGUUACAGAACUGAGAGAAGAUACCUGGUGCAAAACUAACAUCAUGAAAACCACAGAAUCCAGCAAUGCAAUGCAUUAUAGAGUCCGGGGCAUGAUGUGGCCAGUGUGGAUCUCUCUGUGCCCUCACUCCCACUGAACAACAGCCCCCCAGAAUGCCAAGGAGCCCCCUGCCUGUGAGCCAAACCAAGCUGUCCCAGGAGACCAGCAAAGCACAGCCAGGAUGGUCAUGAGGUUAGUCAGAGGUCUUCUGUGAUACUAGCCCA
rnacentral:lncRNA from 1 species